rnacentral:tRNA from 1 species
AGGAUGUUAGUAAAAUAUUACAAAACCUUGUCGUGGUUUAAUUAUAAGUUAAAAAUCUUAUACAUCCUU